rnacentral:lncRNA from 1 species
UGGGUCUUUCUUCCUUAUUUCCUGAUAACCCCCUGCAGAAACAGAUAAACAACAAAACUCGUGGAAUUCUGUAAGAUCAAACCCUAAUUCUAGGUGUUGGUUGCAUAUUGGUCCUUUCCCUUGUUUAUUGAAUAAUUAAAAUUGAUACUUAAGAACCGUCAACAAAUACCCCCAUACUUAGGCUUUUACUCGUCCUCGAGAAAAGGAUGGUUAAGAAAAAAAAUCUGGGGUAAACAUUUAAAACAUUCUUUUUAUUUGCAGGGUGUUAAAAUUCCACUGUGUACCAUAGUCAGGAAAGUUUAUGGUUAAGAGUAAUGAUCCUUUCUUCUCAAUCCUGUCACUUGGAGUUUUUGUAUAUUUUUGAAAGAAAGUUAGCAUACCUUUUUAUCCUCAUAGGUUCUUCUCAGAUCACUCAUUAUCUUUUAUAUAUUUCACUGAGGUUGUUUUAUUUUGCAAAAAUUCUCAAGCAUACUUACUUUGCAUUUAUUGCCUGAUCAAAACGGGAUCCGAGGAGGGGAAUGUCAUACUCUUAGAUCAAAGACUUUGGAAAUUAAAAUCUUUGUCAACUCCUGCUGGCAUAUUGCUUAUUAGGGGGACCAUGGGCUAUCAUUUUUCUUCUUCUUUUUUUUAAGUGGAUACCGAGGUACCCCUAAUUCUACUACCGGACACUUGUCCAUUUUUCUGCGAGGUUGUCGAGCACUUGCUCCUUUUUAUUUCCUCGAAUUAUCUCUAUUUUUUGCAUAGCCCAUGCCUCUAAUGCAAUAAUACUUCGGAAGAGUGAAUCUUUCUGAAUAAAUGUCUUGAUCUUAGGAGCAUGAUAAAUCUCUCAACAAGGGUCUAACUCAUUUUGAACAAACUCAAUACAGAAGAGAUAGCUUUUAUAAUUAUAAUUAAUAUUUUUAGUUUUAUCAGGAAUAUAAAACACUGAGGAUGGUAGCUUGAGUUUUGAAUAUUUUGAAAUAAAUUCUCCAAGCAACAAUGAUAUCAAGAAUAAGAAACUCAUACUCUACCAUCACAUAUUCCAUAUUGACUUAAGUAACACAGGGUUUUAAAAUGAUUUUAUAAUAAUUGCAAGUUUUUAGGAAAUAUCACAGAUUGAGAUUAAUCAUGAUUAGAAAUAUUUUAAUAUUUUUAAUUUAUCAUGUCGGAGACAAUAUUCUGCAUAAUCCAAGAUAUAUGUGUGUGUAAAGUAAAGUGUGCACAGUGUGUACCUGAAUCGUGGAGUGGUGUAGUCGGAGUGUGUUUGGCAUGUUGAGGGAUCUCCCCCAUACUUGUUUUCUGCUUUCUUGCACAAAAAUAAAGUAGAGACACACAAGACAUAAUAAUAAUAAUAAUAAUAAUAAUAAUAAUAAUAAUAAUAAUAAUAAUAAUAAUAAUAAUAAUAAUAAUAAUACUCUUUAUUAAUCUUGAGGCAUUUAAUACAAAAGACUAGUAGCAAACUGAUAGCAAACUGAUGAUAAUAGUAAACCUAAACCGAAUUUAAAGAUAGAUAACUAACAUGCAUUGCCUCAAGGUCUAAUCUAGAUAACUUAGCGGCGCUCUAAUUCCCUAAUCUUCUUGUUGGCACUGGCAAGAUCCUGCCUAAGGCCUAGUAUAAUGGUGUUGUGGUUAGAGAGCUGCAUAGUGAGGGAAUUAAUCGAGGACUGGAGGUCUAUGAUAAUUCUAUCUAGUCUACGAACGUCCUCAUCAAUAUCCAUUAUAGUCUUGCGACGCUUGGGAGGUGUCUCAAAAGCAUUGAGAGCGUGCUUCGGGGCUGCCUUUGGAGGGAUGAAACGGACUUUGGCUGCUGUAAUCCCUUCAAAGUAAGGCCUUUCCUCCUCUGUAGUGUAGCGAAUACUGCUGAUCUCGCCGCUCCGGUUGGUCUUGACUCCAACGACCCUCUCAUUGGGUCUAGGUGGAAGGAUCCUCGUGCCGGUUGGCACCUUGAUGGUGGUCUUCGUCUUGGAUGAUGAUCCCUUGAGGAGUAGGGGUUGUGGCGGUGCGGUGAGAACUGGUUGAGCAUGAUAGGAUUGGGCGGAGCUGCGUUGGCGUAAUGGCAUGGCUUCUAGCUGUCGCUCUGUGUUGGCCGGGACGAGAGCACGGGCAUCGGGGUCUUCCACAGGCUCCAUGUUGAGGUUGAAGGGGACGACUUCCCAAUCAUCGUGGUACUUCUCGUCCAUUGGAGCAGCAAGGAACUAAUCAAGCUCUAAUUGAAGGAGAGAAGGCUUGGUGGCUUGGUGUUUGAAAACUGAGGUCAGGGGUCUGUUUAUAUGAGGGUCAAAAAGUACCUCUACGGGUUGUUCGGGUUGCUCCCGUCGAUGUGCGUGCGAAAUUUUCCAUCCGAGGGAUUAUUCGAAUUACCAUAAGUGCAUUUUCCAUAACAGAGAAAAUCGGGACCGAGGGGGAACAGGAGCUGGGCGCCCGCCCACCUGAUCUGGGCGCCCGCCCUCUCUCUGGCCCCUCUGUGGGCCCACUUUCCCGAGCGUGUUUCUAGAUGCGAAAUUAUUUAGAAAAAUAUAUAUAUGACCCAUAAACAUCAGACUAAAAUGGUCGGGCUCUAAUUCUCCAUGGGAAGGUAAAAAUGGACUACGUAUAUUUCUUCUAAUUCUUUAUUAGGCUCUAAAAAUAAUUUAAGACGUUGACCAUUUACCUUGAAUAACGUACCUUCGUCAUUUUGAAGUGUGAUAGCUCCAUGGGAUGAUGAAUUAAUUACCUUGAAUGGUCCUUCCCAAUUGCUCCGGAGUUUUCCAUGCCCGAAAAGCUUCACCCUGGAAUUAAAAAGUAAUACCUUAUCUCCGGGUGUGAACUCCUUCUUCUUGAUUCUCUUAUCAUGCCACCUUUUGACUCUUUCUUUGUAGAUCUUUGAAUUGUGAUAUGCUUUCUCUCGCCAUUCUUCCAAUUGUGAUAGUUGCAUUCUUCUAUAAUCUCCAGCAACAUCUAGGUACAUAUUCCAUCUCUUUAUGGCCCAGUGUGCUUUGAACUCUAGUUCAACAGGUAGAUGGCAAGUCUUCCCGUACACCAAUUGGUAUGGGGACAUUCCAAUUGGGGUCUUGUAUGCUGUCCGGUAUGCCUAGAGUGCAUCGGGUAACAUGUCUUUCCACGCCGUUCCCAUUUUAUUUACUGUCUUCUGAAGAAUAUUCUUGAUUUGUUUGUUGGAAGUCUCUACUUGGCCACUUGUUUGAGGAUGAUAGGGGGUAGCGACAUUGUGACGGAUUCCAUCUUUUGAUAGAUAUUGCUUGAAGCGUUUGUCUAUGAAGUGUGCUCCUCCAUCACUUAUCACUACUCUGGGGACUCCAAAUCUUGGAAAUAUAAUUUCUUCAAACAUCCUCUUUGAACUGACGUUGUCGGCAUGCUUGCAAGGUAAUGCCUCUACCCACUUCGAGACAUAGUCAACUGCCACCAAGAUGUACUCACACUUCUUUGAUGGAGGAAAUGGACCCAUGUAGUCUAUUCCCCAGACAUCAAAGAGCUCAAUCUGAAGGUUGUUGGUGAGUGGCAUUGCAUCCCUUGUAUUUAUGUUUCUGUGUCUUUGACAUGGCCCACAUCUUCUGAUAUAUUGCUUCGUGUCUUCAUACAUUGUAGGCCAGUAGAAUCCACACUGCCAGAUCUUUGAAUGUGUACGGAAUGCUCCAUAGUGACCUCCAUAUGGUGAUGAAUGACGUCUGUCGAUGAUCUUCCAUCCUUCUUCAGUGGUCACACAUCUCCUAAGUAAGCCAUCAGAGCAUACUCGGAAGAGGUAUGGCUCAUCCCAUAUAUGUGAACAACUUUCUUGAAUAAGCUUAUUCUUGUUUGCUCCUGGUGGUACAUACCCUGAAACCAUAAAAUUAACAAUAUCUGCAUACUAGGGGUCAGACCUAUUAAUCCCGUAGAGCAUGUCGUCCCGGAGUGAAUCAUUGAUGGGGGUUUCCUGUGGACUCUUAAAAUACAUUCUAGACAAGUGAUCAGCGACAGAAUUUUCUACUCCCUUUUUAUCUUUUAUUUCUAAGUCAAAUUCUUGGAGUAAUAAGAUCCAUCUAAUCAGGCGAGGUUUAGCAUCUUUUUUAGUGAGCAAAUAUUUUAGUGCAGCAUGAUCAGUGUAAACAAUUAUUUUAGCUCCAACUAAACAAGAUCUAAAUUUAUCAGUGGCAAAGACAACAGCCAGAAGCUCUUUUUCAGUGGUUGCAUAGUUAAGUUGAGCUCCUGUCAAAGUUUUACUGGCAUAAGCAAUUGCAUGAUGCUUCUUAUUUUUAGUUUGUCCCAAUACUGCCCCUACAGCAUAAUCACUAGCAUCACACAUAAUUUCAAAAGGCAACGACCAAUCAGGGGGUUGAAUGAUUGGUGCAGAGAUGAGUGCUUUCUUUAAUAAAUUGAAAGAUGUUAGACAUGCAUCAUCAAAUUCGAAAGGAGCAUCCUUGGCUAGCAAAAGAGUAAGUGGUCUAGCAAUAAAUGAAAAAUCUUUUAUGAAUCUACGAUAAAAACCAGCAUGGCCAAGAAAGCUUCGAAUUCCUUUUAUAUUCACAGGUGGAGGUAGUUGUUCAAUUACUUCAAUUUUAGCUUUGUGUACCUCAAUACCUCUUUCAGACACUAGGUGUCCCAGCACUAUUCCUUCCCUAACCAUAAAAUGACAUUUUUCCCAAUUAAGGACUAAGUGCUUUUCUUCACAUCUUUGCAAAACCUUGUCUAAGUUUUCAAGACAACCAUCAAAAGUUUUUCCAUAAACAGAGAAAUCAUCCAUGAAAACUUCCAUAAUCUCUUCAAUCAUAUUAGAAAAUAUAGACAUCAUGCAUCUUUGAAAAGAAGCUGGUGCAUUACAUAACCCAAAAGACAUUCUACAAUAAGCAUAAGUUCCAUAAGGGCAUGCAAAAGUGGUUUUGCUUUGAUCAUCGGGAUGGAUUGGGAUCUGAUGAUACCCUGAAUAUCCAUCUAAGAAACAGAAGAACGAAUGGUUCGCUAACCGCUCUAGCAUCUCAUCUAUGAAAGGUAAAGGAAAGUGAUCCUUUCUCGUGGCUUUGUUUAGUUUUCUAUAGUCUAUGCACAUCCGCCAUCCUAUGACGGUGCGUUGCGGAAUUAGCUCGUUCUUUUCAUUCAUAAUAACAGUCAUGCCUCUCUUUUUAGGCACAACUUGCACUAGGCUUACCCACUCACUGUACGGCACAGGAUAUAUAAUCCCUGCAUGCAGCAACUUUAUAACUUCCUUUUUAACUACCUCUCUCAUAGUGUUAUUAAGUCUACGUUGGGGUUCUCGAGAGGGUGCAACAGAAGGAUCUGUUGGAAUACGAUGGGUACAAAUCAUAGGACUGAUUCCUGUAAGAUCUUGGAGUGAGUAGCCGAACACUGAGUGAUGUUUCUCAAGAAUGGUCAUUAAUCGCAGAGUUUGAUCCUGAGUGAGUUUAUCGCUAAUGAUUACAGGGAACUCUGGAUUAUUGUUUAGGAAAGCAUAGAUAAGACCGGGUGGUAAAGUUUUAAGCUCUAUGGGGGGUCUAGGUGUUUCUGCAAACUCAUCUAAAGGUUCAGGCUCAGAAGGUUCGGCUUCUUCUUCUAUGAAGAAAGGAGUUUCGUCUUCUAAGUCUGGUUCAUCUAAAAGCUCUAGAGAUGCAGCCUUUACCUCCUCCAUAGGAUCAGGCAAAAGAUAUGAUUCGGCCUUAUUGUUUAAGGAGUGUGAAAUUGUUAUUGGGAAUUUAAAGGUUUUUCCAAAAGAAAUGUGUAGCUUUCCAGUAUGACCUUCAUAAAGGAGUUUCUAAAAGGUUGUCCUAUCAACAGGUCGAAGUCCCAUGUAUCAAAGAUAUAGAAGUUCAAAUGAACCAUGGAGCCUUCUACCGUAAGAGGUAGGACAUUAAUAAUUCCAAGACUGGGGACUAAUCGUCCCGAAGAUUCCUUUAUGACCUUUGUUGUGGGGGUUAAGACAAGAUUUUUAAAUAGUUUAAGUGCACAAGAUUCAGACAUGAUGUUGAUCCCCACAACAGGAUUAUAAAGAGCAUUAAAUCGAUCAGAAUUAUAAGCACAGUGUAUAGUUAUAGAGGGUGUGUCCAAACGGAUCACAUCAGAGGUAAGCUCUAAUUCCUCCAACCAUUCGCUACUCAUGACUGAGAUAAGCUCUCUCAAUUGAUGUUCACUUGGCAAACAAAUGCUAAAAUGGCCGUUUUGGAGUUUGUCAACAGAAUGGUAGUUUGAAAUAUUUCCAAAAUCGGCAAAAAGAUCGGAUUCUAUAUCCAGCAUGAAGUCCGGUGGUGGAAUUUCUUCCUCUUGUGGCUCAGAACUUGGGAUAGCUAAAGUAGAUGAAGAAUUUGGCAGAGUGUCUACUUCGGCUUCGUAGGUUUCAUCAUGAAGGGUAUUAUCCAUCUCAACUUCUAGGAUCCUAUCUAGGAUCACUCUAGCUUCAUUAGUAGGGAUGCGAAAGAAAGAACCUCUACACAUUGUGUGUAGCAUUUGUUUGUGAUUUUUCUGAAGACCUCAAAAAAAGUGAAAUCAAAGAACAGGGUCUUCAAGAUUAAGGUUGGGACCAGAUUCUAAAAGAUCAGAAAAACGUUUCCAGGAUUUUCCCAAAGUUUCAUUAUAUUUUUGUUUAAAAGAUAGGACUUCGAGUCUAUGGUCGGCUAUACGGUCAAGGGAAUAGAAAUAUAGACAAAAGUUGGCUCGUAAAACUCCCCAUUCACCUUGUUGUUGACUUACCUUCUGACUGUACCAUUGUCUAGCUUCUCCCCUUAAAGAAAAAGGAAAAAGCUUCCAACGUAAAGUUUUAUCAGAAAUGCCUUCAAUGCGAAGACAAUCGCAUGUUUGCUCAAAAUCUCUAAUAUGAAGGUAAGGGUUUUCGUCUUCCUUUCCUGAAAAAGAUAGGUUUUGAAUCAUGGCAAUGAACCUAGAACUUAACUUAUACUGGGAUGUUUGGAUAGGCUGUGAUGACUCCCAUGGUAAAAGGUCAGUUACUGAAGGGAUUGCAGAUUCAUGGAUCGAUUUAAAAUUUUGGUUUUCCAUAAGGUAAGAGUAAAGAAAAUAAAUAAAGAAUAUGAAAGAUAAGAAAAGAUAAAAGUAUAGAUACAAGCUAGUAGUAAGACUCAGGUUAUCUCAGCAACCGUCUUUCUCCCCAGCAACGGCGCCAGAAAUGCUUGUUGAUAUUUGGGAACGCAAUAAGGAAUUGAUCCGCAAGCGCACGGAUAUCGGUGAGCACUUCACCCGGGAAAUUAUCCAGAGUAUCGUAUUUAUUUUUUUACCACUAGGAGAAAGAGUGCAUCUGACUAACCGGUCUAUUACUACUAACCCUUUAGGCACAAAGAAUGUCUUUCGAUGUGAGUGAUAAAUAGAUAAGACUGCAACCGUAGUCUCCUUCUAACCUUGGUAAGGAUGAUUUACUAUUCUAUUGGGGAGGCUAACGGAAUCUAGGCACCACAAAGGAUGUUCAACCCGCACCUAUAAACCCUAUCCUUCCUGCUAACGAGAUAUGGUCUGCAAAGGUAACUCGGAAUUGUCACGUUCCUCACUACUUCCACGGUCCAGCUAGUCAGGGAAUAUCUUUGAGUACCCCAGCCUAAACACCACAUUUACGCCAGCAAUGAUUACUCUAAACUCUACGCAAAGAGAUUAAAGUAAACUCAUAAACUAGAAGAACAAUAAAACAAGAACUUACUAGAAUUUAGAAGUCGAAAUACUGAAGAAUCCUAGGAGCAAGCUUCGGGUUAGGAGAACUUGAUCCCGCAGGUACAAGCUUGGAGUAGACACCGACAGGCCGGGCUUCCUCCAAUCUACACCUCCACUCUAUCUCUAUCAAUCUAGUAGAAACUAGAAGAUCUAUUUCUACUUUACAUUGGUUGCUAAGCCUAAAAACAAAUAUUAAUUAGAGAAGAGGUUUUCCUUCGAGGGCACCCCUCAAUCUCUAUGAUAAUUUCUUCAUGUCUUCUCUAGGGGCCAGGGGGUCUCCUUAUAUAGUCCUCCUCCUCUAUGCGUUUUUGGGUCGGUAGGCGAGGUGGUACUAUGCUUUCUUUGAUCCAUUAGGUCGGUGGAACAUCGUGUGCGAAGAGAGUCCCGAACGGGAUCCAGCAGGGGGCGGGCGCCCAGGUCACCAGGGCGGGCGCCCUGGGCCUGGCCCCUUUCGGCCUCUGCUUCGUUCUCGUGGCUUCUGGAGUCUUCUAGAUGGUAGAAAAUCGCGCGGUGCGUUGAUAUCUCUAUGUAAUCCCGACAUGUGGGCCUUUCUUCCUUAUUUCCUGAUAACCCCCUGCAGAAACAGAUAAACAACAAAACUCGUGGAAUUCUGUCAGAUCAAACCCUAAUUCUAGGUGUUGGUUGCAUAUUGGUCCUUUCUCUUGUUUAUCUGAUAAUUAAAAUUGAUACUUAAGAACCGUCAACAAAUACCCCCAUACUUAGGCUUUUACUCGUCCUCGAGAAAAGGAUGGUUAAGAACAAUACUUGGGGUAAAACAUUCUUUAUAUUUGCAGGGUAUUAGAAUCCACUGUGUACUGUAGUCAGGGAAGUAUAUGAUUAAGAGUAAAGAUCCUUUCUUCUCAAUCCUGUUACUUGGAGUUUUUGUAUAAUUUUGAAAGAAAGCUAGCAUACCUUUUUAUCCUCAUAGGUUCUCUCAGAUCACUCAUUAUCUUUUAUAUAUCUCACUGAGGCUGUUUUAAUUUGCAAAAAUUCUUAAGCAUACUUACUUUGCAUUUAUUGCCUGAUCAAAACGGGAUCUGAGGAGGGGAAUGUCAUACUCUUAGAUCAAAGACUUUGGAAAUUAAAACUUUGUCAACUCUUGCUGGCAUAUUGCUUAUUAGAGGGACCAUGGGCUAUCAUUUUCUUUUUCUCUCUCUUUUUUUUCUCUUUUUUCUUCUUCUUUUUAAUGGAUACCGAGGUAUCCCUAAUUCUACUGCCGGACACUUGUCCAUUUUUCUGCGAGAGCACUUGGUCCUUUUUAUUUCCUCAAAAUAUCUUUUAUUUUUGCAUAGCCCAUGCCUCUAAUGCAAUAAUACUUCGGAAGAGUGAAUCUUUCUGAAUAAAUGUCUUGAUCUUAGGAGUAUGAUAAAUCUCUCAACAAGGGUCUAACUCAUUUUGAUCAAACUCAAUACAGAGUAGAUAGCUUUUAUAAUCAUAAUUAAUAUUUUCAGUUUUAUCAGGCAUAUAAAACACUGAGGACGGUAGCUAGAAUUUUGAAGAUUUUGAAAUAAAUUCUCCAAGCAACAAUGAUAUCAAGAAUAAGAAACUCAUACUGUACUUUUACAUAUUCCAUAUUGACUUAAGUAAUACAUGGUUUAAAAAUGAUUUUCAAUAAUUGCAAGUUUCCAGGAAAUAUCACAGAUUGAGAUUAAUCAUGAUUAGAAAUAUUUUAAUCUUUUUAAUGUAUCAUGUCGGAAACAGUAAUCUGCAUAAUCAAGAUAUGUGAAGUGUAAAGUAAAGUGUGCAGAGUGUGUACCUGAAUCGUGGAGUGGUGUAGUCGAAGUGUGUUUUGCGUGUCGAGGGAUCUCCCCCAUACUUGUUUUCUCCUUUCUUGCACAAAAAUAAAGUAGAGACACACAAGACAUAAUAAUAGUAAUACUCUUUAUUAAUCUUGAGGCAUUUAUUACAAAAGACUAGUAGCAAACUGAUGAUAAUAGUAAACCUAAACCGAAUUUAAAGAUAAAUAACUAAGAUGCAUUGCCUCAAGGUCUAAUCUAGAUAACUUAGCGGCGCUCUAAUUCCUUAAUCUUCGUGUUGGCACUGGCAAGAUCAUGCCUAAGGCCUAGUAUAAUAGUGUUGUGGUUAGAGAGCUGCCUAGUGAGGGAAUUAAUCGAGGACUAGAGGUCUAUGAUAACUCUGUCUAGCCUGCGAACGUCCUCAUCAAUAUCGACUAUAGUCUUGCGACGCUUGGGAGGUGUCUCAAAAGCAUUGAGAGCGUGUUUCGGGGCUGCCUUUGGAGGGAUGAAAUGGACUUUGGCUGCUCUAAUCCCUUCGACGUAAGGCCUUUCCUCCUCCGUAGUGUAGGGAAUACUGCUGAUCUCGCCGCUCCGGUUGGUCUUGACUCCAACGACCCUCUCAUUGGGUCUAGGUGGAAGGAUCCUUGUGCCGGUUGACACCUUGAUGGUGGUCUUCGUCUUGGAUUGUGGCGGUGCGGUGAGAACUGGUUGAGCAUGGUAGGAUUGGGCGGAGCUGCGUUGGCGUAAUGGCAUGGCUUCUAGCUGUCGCUCUGUGUUGGCCGGGACGAGAGCACGGGCGUCGGGGUCUUCCACAGGCUCCAUGUUGAGGU